AGAGGUGUAGCUCAGUGGUAGAGUACUUGCCAAGCAUGUGCAAGGACUUGGGUUCGAUGCCCACCCCCCUCUG
rnacentral:tRNA from 1 species